GGCAAUUCAGGGAACAAAGGACUGGUGAUUAAUGCACUUUGGUGCCACUCUGGAUCCCAUUUCUGCUUCUGCUGGGGAGUCGUUACGUCACGCUGAACAAUUCCCAAACUUUUCACACGCUGCUCCUCCUUCGGAGUUGUGUGCAAGAUGGACUCUGCAACAGAACUUCUUAGAGGGAAGUCACUCUUGGAGCCUUAGCCACACCAGAACAAUAAAAGCGAGAAAGUUCUGUCUAAUUUCAAAGACCUGAAGGAACCCAGAAGUCAUAAAGGAAGAUUACCAGCGAUCUGAGAGAACUGAAGCAGAAGCAUUUAGGACGUAUCCACAGCAACUCGGCAGGUUGAGUGACUUGACGUCUUCAGAGGUGAAUGUUGAAGAGCGAUGUUCCUCGGAGUUACUGUAACAAUAAAUGCAACUCUUCCUCCAGAUCUCUCCCUAGACCUAGCAACCAAGUUGUUAUUCCACCUGUUUGGAAUUAAGUUGCUUUACUUUUGUUUUAACCUGAGUCAUGUCAAGGAUAAAAUUAAUAUUAAAACCUGUGUAAACCUUUUUCCUCAGUUUCCUAUUUAUGUACUUCUCAGUUGUUUUUGUUGUUGUUGUUUGCCUGUUUCGUUUUGGUUUGGUUUGGUUUAUUUUUCUGGGUGUGGUACAAAUUGCCUUGUAUUUUAAAAUUUUGGGUUUGCUGUCUAGAUGCAGGUCAAAGAAAGAGCUAAAGUGUUAUUGAUACUCUGAUCUCAGAAAUAUCUUAUUAAGUUCCUGUGUUCUUUUCAUAUCUUGCCUGGCAACAUCUUUCAGUACCUUUUAGGAAGAGUACCUGGAGAGACACCACAUCAUCAUAGCAAGGCACGCAGCAGGAGAAGCAUGGAAGAGACAAUUCCAGGGUUCCCAAGGAAGAAAAGAAGAAAAGUCAAUUUCAUCAUUAUUUACUUAGAAACUUUUAGGGAGA